rnacentral:snRNA from 1 species
GUAUCUCGUUCCCUUUGGUUAUUGUAAAGCACUGUGGACACUGUUGGCACUGUAUAAAUGAUGACAAUAAUAAUAUAUUAAAUGGAUUUUUUAGAACAGGGAGCUGGAAGAAGAGCUUGCUUUGUUCACUCCACGCUUUGUCCUGGUAUUGCAGUACCUCCAGAAGCAGUGCAUCGAAA